UGAUUUGAUUCAGACAGACUGUAGAGCACAUGGCAUCAGUGAUCAUGAGACAGAUGAAGCUCAUAUUCAUGUUCACAUGGAGAAAAUGUCACUGAAGAUUACUACUGUUUCAACUGAACUGGAAACUCAAUCUCCUGAUCACAGAGGAGACUCCAGUGAUGUUCAGAUGAAGAUCAGCAGAUGAUGGAGAUGUUCAUCUCUUCCUGUUUGACAUGAUUGAGCAUGAACGCAAAUGUUUGAUGAUUACACAGGACUCCAUCAUGGAGCUGAGUAAUAUUAAUAAGGUCAAAUUAACAUCAAUUUAUUUCUUGUUUCUUAUUCUAUGUGUUAUAUUAACACACCGUAAUUGUUGACGUUCAUAUCUGUGAUUUUGCUGCAGGUAGUUUUUCCUCACUAUAGGUAGUUUGGACUGAUGUAAAUAAAUCCACACCAGCGUAUUUGAAAAGCUCCAGAAAGUUGCAGUCGUUUCUCUACUGAAGGAUGUCUGAACAGAUGGAGAGUUCACUGACUGGCCCGUAUCUCUUCCGGAACAAUCAACCAAUGACCAGCACUUCUGUUUAUGUCUGCUGAAUGUAUAGAACAUGUCAGGAUUUCAGUUUCCUGCAUUUCAUGCUUUCUCUACAGGCUCAAUAAAGGGUGUGACUCUAUAAAUGAUCUAAAAUGAAUCAAAUAUAGCAGGGUAAACUUCUGUAGUAAUGAAUGGGAGACCACAGCAAAUAUAGUCUUUGUGUUCCCAUUUGCUCCAACAGCAAAAUAAAAAAAUCCACUAUUACGUUUCCAUGACUUUCCAAAAGAGGAAAUAAUAGAGAUGAUAAUGGUCAGAAGAGAGAAAGAUUAGAAACCCCAACACAACAGCGAUGACUAGUUUACUGGAUUUAUUUAUAUUAAUGUCAGGGUAAUAUAACACAAAGCACAGUCAUAUAAAUAUACUUUAUAUUCUUUAAGAAAUAAGAAAAGGUUUGUUAGAUUUACUCUAUUAAAUGAAUAUGGAAAUACAUAAGAUGUGUGAAAACGUCUGUUCUUGGCAGGUCUUUACACACUCUUCAUAACCAGUUGAGACUAUGUGCACGUGUCUGCUGGUCUGCAAAAUUGUGCAUUAUCAAAGAAUAUCAAAAGGACUAUUGUGUAAAUGAUGAAUUAUUUGAUAGAGCAAAUAAAAUGACUGGAGUCUUGAUAUAAUCAGCUGAAU